GCGAUCGGCAGAGCUGAUUUUUCUGUCCUCAUAUUUCGUCCAUUUGGGUGACUUUGCUAGUCUGGCAGAGAUUAAGUCUGACUUUGUUCGAGAUGUGCCUUAUUGUGAUGCUCUGUGUUUAGUGGAUGACAAAAAACUAUACCAACGCUGAGUUCUCACAAUAAAGUGCACAGCCAGUGGAGUCUGUUGCAAGAAGAUAAACCAUCUCUCACUCAUUAUUUCUGUGUCCUGACUGGCACCGUAUCUUGUUUCAUGCAUACCAACACACAAAUUAGCGCCAAAGAAUUCUCUCCUCUACAAUGCCUUUAUUAAAGGCAGAACUUUUUAAUAUUAUUCACUAUCAGAACUUUAAUCCGACUCCAAGGGCCAUUGUUUCUAAGGAUGACGAAAGCAAUCGAAUGGGAAUAUAUGUUUGGAGUAGUGAGAAGAAUCGGUUUUGGACCAAAUGACUGGGCUUGGAACAAAUCUCUAUGCAGAGCUCCUACUGCUUCAGUUGUAACAAAAGGUUUCCUGUCAGCUCCCUUUAAAUUAAACAGAGACACAGCACAGGGAAGUCCAUCAUCUCCUCUCCUCUGCUCUGACCAUUGAGCCUUUAGCUAUGACUAUUAGAAAGAAUCAUUGCAAUCAACUGUCAAAGUUUUAAUCUGAGAUACAUAGUAUGAGCUUGGAUGAACUUGCAUGGUUAAGAAAAUCCUGGUAUACUUUAGUUAAAUGUGCAAUAUUGAGUGAUGUUUGGGAAUGAAUGUUGCUCCUGCCCCCUAUAAUUUCAAUAUGUAAUAGAUUUAAAUGGGUAUAAUAUAAUAUACUGUAUAAUGUUCAUAUUUCUCAAUAUAUUUAUAGUAAGUAUAAAACAUGAGUUUCCCCAAACUGUCCUGAAUGUAAGACUCAAAUUGGAACAAGCAGUGGUGUAGCAGGCUUUUCAAAAGUGCGGGGAUGUUUUCUGUCUGUGGGUGGCAUCGGCUGUAAAUUAAGAUUCUAAAUGGGUGUGUUUUAUGUUUUAUAUAAACUUUUCCAAGAGAUUUGUUACAGUUUCAUAAAAAAUGCUUAUAAACGUUACAUGUACAAUGAAAAUAAGCACCUCACAUACACACAUACACACACAGUCUGCUUCAACUGACUUUUUGCACAAACUGUAACUAAAACAUAGUGUAGUUUAAACCUACAUUUAUUUAAUUGCUGACCUCUGAACCUUCACCUUCUCUGAAACUGAUGCCUGCUGCAACUGCCUAUUCUAAACCAGAAGGGUGCAGUGGUGAAGAUUGGGCUCAAAAUGAUCUGAAUACUUUAUGGCUUAGUUUAAACAAAAAAAUAAUAAUUCAAAAUGUAUUUGUUAAAUUUUCAUUUAAAUAGGCUUUUAGCUUUUUACAGUAAUAUCACUUAUAGAAUUUCUCUUGAAAAAGUUGCCAAUCUUCUCUCACCUUUUUCUUUUCGGCAUCUGAAUUAUACUGAGUGACAAAAAACAAUUAAAAGCUUGACAGUGUCAUGAA